GACCGCGUAGCUCAGUUGGAAGAGCAUUGGGCUGGUAUUCCAAAGGUCGUAGGUUCGAAUCCCACCAUGGCCG
rnacentral:tRNA from 1 species